UGUAAAAAUAGGACCUGGUGGCUGGGUUUGC
rnacentral:piRNA from 1 species